rnacentral:rRNA from 1 species
GCGUGCGCAGGCGGUUGUGUAAGACAGAUGUGAAAUCCCCGGGCUCAACCUGGGAACUGCAUUUGUGACUGCACGACUAGAGUACGGCAGAGGGGGGUGGAAUUCCACGUGUAGCAGUGAAAUGCGUAGAGAUGUGGAGGAAUACCGAUGGCGAAGGCAGCCCCCUGGGCCGAUACUGACGCUCAUGCACGAAAGCGUGGGGAGCAAACAGGAUUAGAUACCCUGGUAGUCCACGCCCUAAACGAUGUCAACUAGUUGUUGGUAGGGUUAAACCUAUUAGUAACGUAUCUAACGCGUGAAGUUGACCGCCUGGGGAGUACGGUCGCAAGAUUAAAACUCAAAGGAAUUGA